CCCUUAGAUGUCCUGGGCCGCACGCGCGCUACAAUGACACGUUCAACAAGUACUUUCCUGGCUUGGAAAAGUUUCGGGUAAUCUUUAUAAUACGUGUCGUGCUGGGGAUUGAUCUUUGGAAUUAUAGAUCUUGAACGAGGAAUUCCUAGUAAGCAUAAGUCAUCAGCUUGUGCUGAUUACGUCCCUGCCCUUUGUACACACCGCCCGUCGCUACUACCGAUUGAACGGUUUAGUGAGGGCCUCGGAUUGGUCUCGGCCCGCUCUUUACCGGGCGGCGCCGUUGGUCGAGAAGACGCUCGAACUUGAUCGUUUAGAGGAAGUAAAAGUCGUAACA
rnacentral:rRNA from 1 species